rnacentral:Y_RNA from 1 species
GGCUCGUACAAGUGCAGUGGUGUUUACAACUAAUUGAUCACGACCAGUUACAGAGCCCUUUGUUCCUUUUCCACUCCUACUGCUUCACUUGUCCAGCCUUAA